rnacentral:rRNA from 1 species
AUUGAACGCUGGCGGCAGGCCUAACACAUGCAAGUCGAACGCAUCCUUCGGGGUGAGUGGCAGACGGGUGAGUAACGCGUGGGAAUCUACCCUGAUCUGCGGGAUAGCUCCGGGAAACUGGAAUUAAUACCGCAUAUGUCCUGAGGGACAAAGAUUCAUCGGUUCAGGAUGAGCCCGCGUCCGAUUAGCUAGUUGGUGGGGUAAAGGCCUACCAAGGCGACGAUCGGUAGCUGGUCUAAGAGGAUGAUCAGCCACAUUGGGACUGAGACACGGCCCAAACUCCUACGGGAGGCAGCAGUGGGGAAUAUUGGACAAUGGGCGCAAGCCUGAUCCAGCCAUGCCGCGUGAGUGAUGAAGGUCUUAGGAUUGUAAAGCUCUUUCACCGGGGACGAUAAUGACGGUACCCGGAGAAGAAGCCCCGGCUAACUUCGUGCCAGCCGCCGCGGUAA